rnacentral:lncRNA from 1 species
GAGAGUAGUGCUUAACCGGAGGAGGAGGGGACUUGUAUACGUAAUGUUUCUUUGGUGGUGGUGGGGAAUGGUAGACUGGAGGGGGAGAGUAGUGCUUAACCGGAGGAGGAGGGGACUUGUAUACGUAAUGUUUCUUUGGUGGUGGUGGGGAAUGGUAAACUGGAGGGGGAGAGUAGUGCUUCACCGGUGGUGGUGGAGAUUUGUACACGUAGUGUUUCUUUGGUGGGGGUGGGGAAUGGUAAACCGGAGGAGGAGAGUAGUGCUUAACUGGAGGAGGAGGAGAUUUGUACACGUAGUGUUUCUUUGGUGGUGGUGGGGAAUGGUAAACCGGAGGAGGAGAGUAGUGCUUAACCGGAGGAGGAGGAGAUUUGUACACGUAGUGUUUCUUUGGGGGUGGUGGGGAAUGGUAAACCGGAGGAGGUGAGUAGUGCUUCACCGGUGGUGGUGGAGAUUUGUAGACGUAAUGCUUUUUAGGUGGGGGUGGGGAAUGGUAAACCGGAGGGGGAGAGUAGUGCUUAACCGGAGGAGGAGGAGACUUGUAAACGUAAUGUUUUUUUGGUGGUGGUGGUGAGUGGUAAACCGGAGGGGGAGAGUAGUGCUUAACCGGAGGAGGAGGAGACUUGUAUACGUAAUGUUUCUUUGGUGGUGGUGGUGAGUGGUAAACCGGUGGGGGAGAGUAGUGCUUGACUGGAGGAGGGGGAGAUUUGUACACGUAGUGCUUCUUGGGUGGUGGUGGAGAGUGGUAAACCGGAGGAGGAGAGUAGUGCUUAACCGGAGGAGGGGGAGAUUUGUAAACGUAGUGCUUCUUUGGUGGUGGUGGGGAGUGAUAAACCGGUGGGGGAGAGUAGUGCUUGACCGGAGGAGGAGGAGAUUUGUACACGUAGUGUUUCUUUGGUGGGGGUGGGGAAUGGUAAACCGGAGGAGGUGAGUAGUGCUUAACCGGUGGAGGUGGAGAUUUGUAUUCGUAGUGCUUCUUAGGUGGUGGUGGGGAGUGGUAUACCGGUGGAGGAGAGUAGUGUUUAACCGGAGGAGUGUAAUGUUUAACCGGUGGUGGAGGAGAAGAAUAGAAAUAGUUAGCGGUUGAUUGAGAUACAAAG